rnacentral:rRNA from 1 species
CCUUUAAUGUUUGAUGUUCUAACGUGGACCCGUAAUCCGGGUUGCGGACAGUGUCUGGUGGGUAGUUUGACUGGGGCGGUCUCCUCCUAAAGAGUAACGGAGGAGCACGAAGGUUGGCUAAUCCUGGUCGGACAUCAGGAGGUUAGUGCAAUGGCAUAAGCCAGCUUGACUGCGAGCGUGACGGCGCGAGCAGGUGCGAAAGCAGGUCAUAGUGAUCCGGUGGUUCUGAAUGGAAGGGCCAUCGCUCAACGGAUAAAAGGUACUCCGGGGAUAACAGGCUGAUACCGCCCAAGAGUUCAUAUCGACGGCGGUGUUUGGCACCUCGAUGUCGGCUCAUCACAUCCUGGGGCUGAAGUAGGUCCCAAGGGUAUGGCUGUUCGCCAUUUAAAGUGGUACGCGAGCUGGGUUUAGAACGUCGUGAGACAGUUCGGUCCCUAUCUGCCGUGGGCGCUGGAGAACUGAGGGGGGCUGCUCCUAGUACGAGAGGACCGGAGUGGACGCAUCACUGGUGUUCGGGUUGUCAUGCCAAUGGCACUGCCCGGUAGCUAAAUGCGGAAGAGAUAAGUGCUGAAAGC